GGGCCCGUAGCUCAGCUAGGUGGAGCAAUCGGCUCUUAACCGAUGGGUCGUGGGUUCGAAUCCCACCGGGCCCGCCA
rnacentral:tRNA from 1 species